rnacentral:rRNA from 1 species
AACGACGCUGGCGGCAGGCCUAACACAUGCAAGUCGAGCGAGGUAGCGAUACCUAGCGGCGGACGGGUGAGUAACGCGUGGGAACGUACCCUUUGGUUCGGAAUAGCCCUGGGAAACUGGGAGUAAUACCGGAUACGGUCGAGAGACGAAAGAUUUAUCGCCGAAGGAUCGGCCCGCGUUGGAUUAGCUAGUUGGUGGGGUAAAGGCCUACCAAGGCGACGAUCCAUAGCUGGUCUGAGAGGAUGAUCAGCCACACUGGGACUGAGACACGGCCCAGACUCCUACGGGAGGCAGCAGUGGGGAAUAUUGGACAAUGGGCGAAAGCCUGAUCCAGCAAUGCCGCGUGAGUGAUGAAGGCCUUAGGGUUGUAAAGCUCUUUUACCCGAGAUGAUAAUGACAGUAUCGGGAGAAUAAGCUCCGGCUAACUCCGUG